GCUGCGGGCAAUCUCCGACGGCGCCGACGGCUUCGACCUACACAGCGAGAGAGUGAACGUGUUGGCCUACGCAGAUGACCUAGUCCUGAUCGCGGACGACCCCGAGAGGCUCCAGGGCAUGCUCAACACCUUCGGGAGAGUCGCAGAAUGGACGGGACUCCGCUUUAACGCCAAAAAGUGCGCGUCCCUCCAUGUCAACUGCAGCAAGAAGAACUCGGUGCAGGCUACGGACUUCCUCAUCCAGGGUGAAUCCGUCGUCCCCCUGGCCGAGGGGCAGGCGUACCAACACCUCGGCACGCCGACGGGCUUCCGUGUCCGGCAGACCCCCGAGGACACCAUCCAGGAAAUCCUGCAGGACGCCGCCAGGAUCGACGUUUCCCUGCUGGCUCCGUGGCAGAAAAUCGAUGCCCUCAACACGUUCCUGAUCCCCCGCAUCGCCUUUGUCCUGAGAGGAUCUGCCGUGGCAAAGGUGCCCCUCAACAAGGCGGACAACGUCAUCCGGCAACUGGUGAAGAAGUGGCUGUCCCUGCCCCAGAGAGCAAGCAACGAGCUGGUCUAUAUCGCUCACCGGCACGGUGGCGCCAACGUCCCCCGCAUGGGAGACCUCUGCGAUAUCGCGGUCGUCACACACGCCUUUCGCCUCCUGACGUGCCCGGACGCCGUGGUAAAGAAAGUCGCGACGACCGCCCUGUGCUCCGCCACCGCAAAGCGAAUCGACAGAGCUGCCUCUGGCCAAGAUAUGGCCACCUUCCUGAGCGGCUCCAUGGACGGUGACUUCGCCCGAGACAGAGGCGACAUAGCCUCACUGUGGACCCGUGCCCGCAAUGCCACGCGCCGACUGGGGAAACGACUAGGCUGCCGCUGGGUAUGGAGCGAGGACCGACGGGAGCUGGGAGUCCUGAUACCGCGGACCGAGACGGAGGACACCGUCAUCAGCCCUGGAGCCAGAGGCACGCUGGAGAGGUCACUGAAGGCCGCCGUACGCGCGCUCUACUUGGGCACGCUGAAGAAAAAACCAGACCAGGGCAAGGUUUACGAGGUCACCAGCAAGUGGGACUCCAGCAACCACUUCCUCCACUCAGGCAGCUUCAUCCGCUUCGCUGACUGGCGCUUCAUACACCGCGCCCGACUAAACUGCGUCCCGCUUAACGGAGCUGUCCGCCACGGGACCCGAGACAAGCGCUGCAGGAAGUGCGGGUACGCCAUGGAGACCCUGCCCCACGUCCUGUGCAGCUGCAAGCCCCACGCCAGAGCCUGGCAGCUGCGUCACAACGCCAUCCAGGACCGUCUGGUAAAGGCCAUCGCUCCGCACCUGGGAGAAAAAGUCACCAACCGCACCGUCCCUGGCACCGACAGCCCACUGCGCCCAGACAUCGUCGUCACGGACGAGGCUCGAAAAAAGAUCAUCCUCGUUGAUGUGACGGUUCCUUUCGAGAACAGGACCCUGGCCUUCCGCGAGGCCCGAGCCCGAAAGCUCGAAAAAUACACCCCCUUGGCGGACACUCUGCGGUCAAAGGGCUACGAGGUCUAUACCGACGCCCUGAUCGUUGGGGCCCUGGGCGCCUGGGACCCUUGUAAUGAACGCGUGCUUCGGGCCUGCGGGGUAGGCCGUCGCUACGCGCAGCUCAUGAGACGCCUGAUGGUCUCGGACACUAUCAGAUGGUCCAGAGACAUCUACACAGAGCACGUCACCGGUCACCGCCAAUACCAGGAGUAAGCGGGCGUGACUCCGUGCACCCGAAGGGGGGAGGAGAUUUUCACACUCCCCCGUUGGACUCUAUCCCCUGAGCCCUGAACCCACCAAACCAAACUCCACUAUGUGAGGGUCGCCCUAUCCUCAUCACCCAGCUCACUCCUUUAUUCCCACGACUGUCUGUAACCUGUUUGUAUGAGCGAUGUACCCUCACUGCCUCCCGACUGUAUCUUGAUCUCACCCACCGUUCACCCCGCAUUGGGGACAUGACAGACUGUAUAUGGUAUAUGCUGCCCAAUACCAAAAUACUGACCCC
rnacentral:lncRNA from 1 species